AUUGAACGCUGGCGGCAGGCCUAACACAUGCAAGUCGAACGAGUGGCGGACGGGUGAGUAAUGUCUGGGAAACUGCCUGAUGGAGGGGGAUACCUACUGGAAACGGUAGCUAAUACCGCAUACCAUCGGAUGUGCCCAGAUGGGAUUAGCUAGUAGGUGGGGUAAAGGCUCACAUAGGCGACGAUCCCUAGCUGGUCUGAGAGGUGGACCAGCCACACGGGAACUUAGACACGGUCCAGACUCCUACGGGAGGCAGCAGUGGGGAAUAUUGCACAAUGGGCGCAAGCCUGAUGCAGCAAUGCCGCGUGUAUGAAGAAGGCCUUCGGGUUGUAAAGUACUUUCAGCGAGGAGGCGUUACUCGCAGAAGAAGCACCGGCUAACUCCGUGCCAGCCGCCGCGGUAAUAC
rnacentral:rRNA from 1 species